AUAAUUUUUCUACAAUCAAGGCAGUAACAGCAAUUUUUUGGCUUAUCUUGAAAGUACAGAACCAUGUCUCCUUCUUGAAGGAAAAGAUUGUCGCUUUACACAUGCAAAGGCGUGAGAAUCUUCUUCCUCCCAAUGUCCGAUUAAUUUUCUGUUUUCAAAGGGCUCCUUCCCUCCCUUGUGACUCUGUUGCUCAAAUGUCGGCAUGUCACUUCUAGACCCCACUAGUGGAAGCUUGGGAGCAAUGCGCCCGCUAAAAUUGUCUAAACUGACAGGAUGUUGUCAAUCAUCAUGAUGUCAUGAAUUUGCUUGUCAAGAUAAGUAAUGUGAGUUUGAUUGAGUAUCCACACCAGCAAAUUCUUUUAGGCUUGCUAUUGUUUUCUGUUAGGAUAAAUAGGGGACUCCCUGUAUUACACAAUGGUACUGUCAAAUACUACAUAUCCUUUACAUAUUUCUACAAUGGUAUGGUAAUGAUGACUUUGCUUUUGGUUUUACCCAAAAGACCUCGUAUCAAUGGAACAUAUUGUCUUCACUUG